CCUGUCAGACACCCAACCGGACCUCCGCACACCGGGAUUUUACGCCGAUGUUGAGGCGACAGCCUUCAAUGCUGCGGCACCAGCACACAGCCAAUUCCAGUGAAUCCCGAGUUUUCUGCGGGCGCACCGGCCUCGCCUCCCCGUGAGUUGCCACGAGUGCCAUCUAACACAUCGCAAAACAUCACAUCAGCUGAACGCAGGUACUCCACUGGCGAAAAGGAAGCUUUGGCUUGUUUAUGGGCUUGCGAAAAGUGGCAUGUCUACCUCUGGGGAAGAAAGUUCACACUUUUGACGGACCACCAGGCACUGGCUACUCUUUUGUCUGAAAAGGGCUCUGGGAGGAAACCACUGAGAAUAGG
rnacentral:lncRNA from 1 species